rnacentral:rRNA from 1 species
UACGAAGGGUGCAAGCGUUAAUCGGAAUUACUGGACGUAAAGGGUGCGUAGGCGGUUCGUUAAGUCUGUCGUGAAAUCCCCGGGCUCAACCUGGGAAUGGCGAUGGAUACUGGGCAGCUAGAGUGUGUCAGAGGAUGGUGGAAUUCCCGGUGUAGCGGUGAAAUGCGUAGAGAUCGGGAGGAACAUCAGUGGCGAAGGCGGCCAUCUGGGACAACACUGACGCUGAAGCACGAAAGCGUGGGGAGCAAACAGG